rnacentral:rRNA from 1 species
AUGUACAUUCCUAUACAAUAUCAUUAAUGCACUGAAUCCCAUUAGAACUAUUUAGUUAAGAAUACUCGAGCUAGAGUAGUACUGAUAUGGGUGACUGCCUGGGAAGUCCUAGUGUUUUACAUG